rnacentral:sRNA from 1 species
UGCCGAGUGCCGCCCGGCGGCAGCGGGAGAACCAAUUUCGGGGUGAAGGUGCAUACCGGGGAACUUCCUUUCCCUAACCCGUCAGCUAAUCUCGUAGGCGUGGGAAGAGG